AUGGAUUCUAAAGUUCAUGGGAUCACCAGUCACUGUGAGAUUAACCUGCAUUUAUCAGGGUGUGGAUGGUGCAAAACAGGGAAUGUGAACUCUGGAAAGUUCUCCAAAGCCUGCUUGGAUGCUUCCACUGAUGGAGAACUCAGCCCCUGGAUCAGCCAAGCAAAGAUCCCACCCAUCUACAUUCUCAGGAGGGGCAUUCAAGAAAAAUAGGGUGAGUAGAUCAUAGAAUCAUAGCCUCAACCUCCUUCUCUUCACUCCUUCCUUCUUUCUUCCUCCUUCUCUUCAUAUUCUUUCUCUAAGUUACAAUGUUUUCUCAGUAUCUAUUGAGCAUCCAACAGGUUGAUUCACAAUUAACUGAAGAACCAUUUGAAAAUGUGUUUUGGCCACCUAGCCAGCAGUCCAUACUUUUGGAUAAAAGGGGAAAAGGAAAAUUAAAGAUUACUUUUAGCUUAAAAAGUAUAUGCAAACUAGUUUGCAAAAGAUGAACUGAAUUUUCUGUCAGCCCCUCCUCCUUUCCCCUGGCAUAGCGCUUUUCCUGAAAGAAUUACAUCAGGCUGGAAAAUUUAGCUUUUGGUUUGUGACCAGAUUCAUUUCCUGUCCCUCAUGUGUUUUAUCAGAGAGUUAGCUUUUAAACAAGGGGGAAAAAUCUUUCUUUCUCACACUGAGCGCCAAGAUUUUAAACUAUUUUUCAAACAUCUCUGACUUGUCUAAUCAUCAAAUUCACUUCUUGAGCAUUACCCUGGACCUUUCUAAACUAUCCAUUUUCUUGGAUCUAUGGAUGAUAUGUCCAAAGGGCAGAGACUUAGUGCAGGCUUAUUGUUCAUACUUACUGAGCUUCCUCAUUCGUGGAGAAUAACUGAUGGUCAAUUCCUGUAGGGCCUCCACUAACAUAUAUAGCAACUUUGUACAACUUGGCAAAAUACCCCAUCUUCGAGUCGAAGCAGCCCAAAGUUGUACAACUUGGCCAGCAGAAGGCAACUUUGUGAGAAGCAGAAAGCAUUCCUUCCUCUGAAAUAGACAUUACCCUACACCAGGCCUGUGCUUUGACUUUGUAUAAUAAGGACAGAAGUGGUAGUUAAGCUAAUAUUAGCCCUGUAAUAAACAAACUCAAAAUCACCA
rnacentral:lncRNA from 1 species